rnacentral:rRNA from 1 species
AGUUUGAUCCUGGCUCAGGAUGAACGCUAGCGGCAGGCUUAACACAUGCAAGUCGAGGGUAUGGUUUUCGGACCAAGAGACCGGCGCACGGGUGCGUAACGCGUAUGCAAUCUACCUUUUGCAGAGGGAUAGCCCAGAGAAAUUUGGAUUAAUACCUCAUAGUAUAGUACUUUGGCAUCAAGGAACUAUUAAAGUCACAACGGCAAAAGAUGAGCAUGCGUCCCAUUAGCUAGUUGGUAAGGUAACGGCUUACCAAGGCUACGAUGGGUAGGGGUCCUGAGAGGGAGAUCCCCCACACUGGUACUGAGACACGGACCAGACUCCUACGGGAGGCAGCAGUGAGGAAUAUUGGACAAUGGGCGCAAGCCUGAUCCAGCCAUGCCGCGUGCAGGAAUAAGGUCCUAUGGAUUGUAAACUGCUUUUAUACAGGAAGAAACACACCCUCGUGAGGGUACUUGACGGUACUGUAUGAAUAAGGACCGGCUAACUCCGUG